rnacentral:rRNA from 1 species
CCGGGAAGAGCUCAAUUUGAAAUCUGGCGUCCUCAGGGCGUCCGAGUUGUAAUCUAUAGAGGCGUUUUCCGUGCCGGACCGUGUCCAAGUCCCUUGGAACAGGGUAUCAAAGAGGGUGACAAUCCCGUACUUGACACGACUACCGGUGCUCUGUGAUACGUCUUCUACGAGUCGAGUUGUUUGGGAAUGCAGCUCAAAAUGGGUGGUGAGUUCCAUCUAAAGCUAAAUAUUGGCGAGAGACCGAUAGCGAACAAGUACCGUGAGGGAAAGAUGAAAAGCACUUUGGAAAGAGAGUUAAACAGUACGUGAAAUUGUUGAAAGGGAAACGAUUGAAGUCAGUCGUGACCGAGAGGCUCAGCCGGCUCUGCCGGUGUAUUCCCCUCGGUCGGGUCAACAUCAGUUUUGUCCGGUGGAUAAGGGCGGCAGGAAUGUGGCACCCUCGGGUGUGUUAUAGCCUGCUGUCGCAUACACCGGGUGAGACUGAGGAACGCAGCUCGCCUUUAUGGCCGGGGCCCGCCCACGUACGAGCUUAGGAUGUUGACGUAAUGGCUUUAAACGACCCGUCUUGAAAACACGGGACC